UACGGAGGGUGCAAGCGUUGUUCGGAAUUAUUGGGCGUAAAGGGCGCGUAGGCGGUGCGGUAAGUCACCUGUGAAAUCUCCUGGCUCAACUGGGAGCUUGCAGGCGAAACUGCCGUGCUGGAGUGUGGGAGAGGUGCGUGGAAUUCCCGGUGUAGAGGUGAAAUUCGUAGAUAUCGAGAGGAACACCGGUGGCGAAGGCGGCCAACUGGACGAAUACUGACGCUGAGACACGAAAGCGUGGGGAGCAAACAGG
rnacentral:rRNA from 1 species